rnacentral:rRNA from 1 species
CAGUAGCCACGGGAAUACGUAGGGUGCAAGCGUUAAUCGGAAUUACUGGGCGUAAAGCGUGCGCAGGCGGUUUGUUAAGACAGAUGUGAAAUCCCCAGGCUCAACCUGGGAACUGCAUUUGUGACUGGCAAGCUAGAGUAUGGCAGAGGGGGGUGGAAUUCCGCGUGUAGCAGUGAAAUGCGUAGAUAUGCGGAGGAACACCGAUGGCGAAGGCAGCCCCCUGGGCCAAUACUGACGCUCAUGCACGAAAGCGUGGGGAGCAAACAGGAUUAGAACCCCAGUAGUCCCUGUCUCUUAUACA